rnacentral:rRNA from 1 species
UACAGAGGUCCCGAGCGUUGUUCGGAUUCACUGGGCGUAAAGGGUGCGCAGGUGGGUUGGCAAGUUUGAUGUGAAAGCCCCGGGCUUAACCCGGGAAUGGCAUUGAAUACUGCUGAUCUGGAGGAUCGGAGGGGGGACUGGAAUUCUUGGUGGUAGCAGUGAAAUGCGUAGAUAUCAAGAGGAACACCAGUGGCGAAGGCGAGUCCCUGGACGAUACCUGACACUCGAGGCACGAAAGCCAAGGAGCAAACAGG